rnacentral:rRNA from 1 species
GACGAACGCUGGCGGCGUGCUUAACACAUGCAAGUCGAACGAAGAGCGACGGAAGCUUGCUUCUAUCAAUCUUAGUGGCGAACGGGUGAGUAACGCGUAAUCAACCUGCCCUUCAGAGGGGGACAACAGUUGGAAACGACUGCUAAUACCGCAUACGAUCUAACCUCGGCAUCGAGGAUAGAUGAAAGGUGGCCUCUACAUGUAAGCUAUCACUGAAGGAGGGGAUUGCGUCUGAUUAGCUAGUUGGAGGGGUAACGGCCCACCAAGGCGAUGAUCAGUAGCCGGUCUGAGAGGGUGAACGGCCACAUUGGGACUGAGACACGGCCCAGACUCCUACGGGAGGCAGCAGUGGGGAAUCUUCCGCAAUGGACGAAAGUCUGACGGAGCAACGCCGCGUGAGUGAUGACGGCCUUCGGGUUGUAAAGCUCUGUUAAUCGGGACGAAAGGCCUUCUUGCGAAUAGUGAGAAGGAUUGACGGUACCGGAAUAGAAAGCCACGGCUAACUACGUG